rnacentral:misc_RNA from 1 species
GAUGAAGAACGUAGCGAAAUGCGAUACGUAAUGUGAAUUGCAGAUUUCAGUGAAUCAUCGAAUCUUUGAACGCACAUUGCGCCCGCUAGUAUUCUGGCGGGCAUGCCUGUUCGAGCGUCAUUUCAACCAUCAAGCCCUAGGCUUGCGUUGGUGCCCUGCGGCUGCCGCAGGCUCCCAAAUCCAGUGGCGGGCUCGUCGUCGUACCGAGUGCAGUAAACAUCCUCGCUCAGGGAACGUGACGGGUUCUUGCCGUGAAACCCCCCACAUAUCAAGGUUGACCUCGGAUCAGGUAGGAAUACCCGCUGAACUUAAGCAUAUCAAUAAGCGGAGGA